rnacentral:rRNA from 1 species
CCCUUAGAUGUUCUGGGCUGCACGCGCGCUACACUGAUGCGCUCAACGAGUUUACGACCUUGCCCGGAAGGGUUGGGUAAUCUUUUUAAAACGCAUUGUGAUGGGGAUAGAUUAUUGAAAUUAUUAAUCUUGAACGAGGAAUUCCUAGUAAACGCAGAUCAUCAAUCUGCAUUGAUUACGUCCCUGCCCUUUGUACACACCGCCCGUCGCACCUACCGAUUGGAUGGUCCGGUGAAGCCUCGGGAUUGUGGUUCUUGCCGCUUUAUUGUGGCGUGACCGCGAGAACUUGUCUAAACCUUAUCAUCUAGAGGAAGGUGAAGUCGUAACA